UGCUAGGACUGGGGAGCAGCAGCUUGGCAGGGAGUGCCAGGCCCUUUGGGGCUGCAGGAGGAUGUGGCAAGGCUCUUAAUGCAGCAGCUGCUUCAUGAGAAGCUCUUCUCUGCCACAGCCAAAAAAUGGUGCGCAGAUCUACCUUUCGGCAUGGCACAGUGGACUUGCAGGAACCCGGGGACAUACUGAGGGAAGAAGGAUAACUUCUCUUCCAGAAGAAAAUGUGACCAGAGCAUGAAUUACUGCUGGCCAGAACAUUGUGUGCAGGACACUGUCUCCAAAAUCUUCCCUAACCCCACCUGCUCCGUGCCAUCUUAUCUUUGCUCUCUGAAAG